rnacentral:rRNA from 1 species
ACGUAGGAGGCGAGCGUUAUCCGGAUUUACUGGGUGUAAAGCGCGUGCAGGCGGUUUAGCAAGUCGUGCGUGAAAGCGCUCUGGCUCAACCGGGCGAGGACGUGCGAGACUGUCGGACUAGAGGCAGGUAGAGGCAAGUGGAAUUCCGGGUGUAGUGGUGAAAUGCGUAGAGAUCCGGAGGAACACCAGUGGCGAAGGCGACGCGCUGGGCCUGACCCGACGCUAAGACGCGAGAGCAUGGGGAGCGAACGG